UAAGAUGAAAUCAUUAAUGAUGUUUCAUUUACAAUGAAAAUUAGUUUUAUAUAAACCAUUUUAA
rnacentral:tRNA from 1 species